rnacentral:rRNA from 1 species
GAAACUAACAAGGAUUCCCCUAGUAACUGCGAGUGAAGCGGGAAAAGCUCAAAUUUAAAAUCUGGCGGUCUCUGGCCGUCCGAGUUGUAAUCUAGAGAAGUAAUGCCCGUGCUGGACCGUGUAUAAGUCUCCUGGGAUGGAGCGUCAUAGAGGGUGAGAAUCCCGUCUUUGACACGGACUACCAGUGCAUUGUGGUAUGCUCUCAAAGAGUCGAGUUGUUUGGGAAUGCAGCUCAAAAUGGGUGGUAAAUUCCAUCUAAAGCUAAAUAUUGGCGAGAGACCGAUAGCGAACAAGUACCGUGAGGGAAAGAUGAAAAGAACUUUGGAAAGAGAGUUAAACAGUACGUGAAAUUGCUGAAAGGGAAACGCUUGAAGUCAGUCGCGUUGGCCAGGGAUCAGCCUUGCUUUUGCAUGGUGUACUUUCUGGUUGACGGGUCAGCAUCAAUUUUGACCGCUGGAAAAGGGCCUGGGGAAUGUGGCAGCUUCGGCUGUGUUAUAGCCCCUGGUCGCAUACAGUGGUUGGGAUUGAGGAACUCAGCACGCCGCAAGGCCGGGUUUCGACCACGUUCGUGCUUAGGAUGCUGGCAUAAUGGCUUUAAGCGACCCGUCUUGAAACACGGACCAAGGAGUCUAACAUGCCUGCGAGUAUUUGGGUGGAAAACCCAAGUGCGUAAUGAAAGUGAAAGUUGAGAUCCCUGUCGCGGGGAGCAUCGACGCCCGGACCAGAACUUUUGGGACGGAUCCGCGGUGGAGCAUGUAUGUUGGGACCCGAAAGAUGGUGAACUAUGCCUGAAUAGGGUGAAGCCAGAGGAAACUCUGGUGGAGGCUCGUAGCGAUUCUGACGUGCAAAUCGAUCGUCAAAUUUGGGUAUAGGGGCGAAAGACUAAUCGAACC